rnacentral:rRNA from 1 species
GACAGAGGUGCCGAGCGUUAGGCGGAAUCACUGGGCUUAAAGCGUGUGUAGGCGGGUCGUAAGUGUCUUGUGAAAUCCCCCGGCUCAACCGGGGAAUGGCUGGGCAUACUGGCGAUCUUGAGCGAUCUGAGGGGCAGAUGGAACAAGUGGUGGAGCGGUGAAAUGCGUAGAUAUCACUUGGAACGCCAAAGGUGAAGACAGUCUGCUGGGGAUCUGCUGACGCUGAGACACGAAAGCCAGGGAGCGAACGGG